GUGAAUCAUCAAAUUUUUGAACGCAAAUUGCACUCUCUUCGGAGAGUAGGCCUGUUUGAGGGUCAGCCUAAAAAAAAAAUCGACAUAGUCGCUGUUUCGCGGUGACAUUCAUCGGAAAUUGGGUCAUCUUAAACCUUUUGGUUUUAAGCUGCUUAAAAUCUUCUUUACUGUUCCACGAACUUUUCUGAGUUUUACUUAUGAUACUUGUAAGGUAUCGAUCUGUAUUAGACUUUGCCGUUGCAUCAGAU
rnacentral:misc_RNA from 1 species